CUCCUGCUCUUCCCUGAAAGUGCAACCUGAGGAAAAACAGAGGAGAGGGCUAUUUUCCCCACCAGCUGAGCAUUCAGAACAUGGUCACACUGCAAUCUCCUCACAGAUUUGUACCAGGGCAUCACUGAGCUCCUGGACAGUGUGAAUUGCAACCUGAAAGUGUUGGAUCUUCUCCAGACUGUGCUGGGAGACACAGCCACCCUUCUGGCAAUGGAAAUUAGUAGGACGCCCACCAAGAUGCACCGCUAUUUUCAACUACAGGUGAAGAGCAGGCAUCAAGUGGUUUCCAGCAGAGUUCAGAAG